rnacentral:rRNA from 1 species
AAGGAAUAUUGGUCAAUGGACGCAAGUCUGAACCAGCCAUGCCGCGUGGAGGAUGAAGGUCCUCUGGAUUGUAAACUUCUUUUAUCUGGGACGAAACACUUCUUUUCUAAGAGGCCUGACGGUACCAGAUGAAUAAGCACCGGCUAACUCCGUGCCAGCAGCCGCGGUAAUACGGAGGGUGCAAGCGUUAUCCGGAUUCACUGGGUUUAAAGGGUGCGUAGGUGGGUAUGUAAGUCAGUGGUGAAAUCCCCGGGCUUAACUUGGGAACUGCCAUUGUUACUAUAUAUCUUGAAUACCGUAGAGGUAAGCGGAAUAUGUCAUGUAGCGGUGAAAUGCUUAGAUAUGACAUGGAACACCAAUUGCGAAGGCAGCUUACUAUGCGGUGAUUGACACUGAGGCACGAAAGCGUGGGUAGCAAACA